GGGAUGGAACUGGGGAUACUGGGAGGGAGCUGGGGAUACUGGGAUGGAACUGGGAUGGAACUGGGGAUACUGGGAGGGAGCUGGGGAUACUGGGAGGGAACUGGGAUGGAACUGGGAGGGAACUGGGGAUACUGGGGUGGAACUGGGAGGGAAAUGGAAUGGAACUGGGAUGGAACUGGGGAUACUGGGAAGGAAAUGGGAUGGAACUGGGAUGGAACUGGGGAUACUGGGAUGGAACUGGGGAUACUGGGAGGGAACUGGGAUGGAACUGGGACGGAACUGGGAAGGAACUGGGAGGGAACUGGGAUGGAACUGGGAUGGAACUGGGGAUACUGGGAUGGAACUGGGGAUACUGGGACUGGGGACACUGGUGACACUGGUGUCACUGGUGAUACUGGGACUGGUGACACUGGGACUGGGGACACUGGGACUGGGGGACACUGGGGACACUGGUGACACUGGGACUGGGGACACU
rnacentral:lncRNA from 1 species